AGAGUUGAUCUGGCUCAGAAUGAACGCUGGCGGCGCGUUUAAGCAUGCAAGUCGGACGGCAAGGGCUGUAGCAAUACGGCCCCUAGAGUGGCGAACGGGUGAGUAACACGUAGGUGAUCUACCUCUGGAUGGGGGAUAGCCCGUGGAAACACGGGGUAAUACCGCAUGAGGCCUUGUGGGUGAAGCCAUGAGGUGAAAGGUGCAAUUGCAUCGUCUGGGGAUGAGCCUGCGGUCCAUUAGUUAGUUGGCGGGGUAACGGCCCACCAAGACGACGAUGGAUAGCCGGCCUGAGAGGGUGGACGGCCACACUGGAACUGAGACACGGUCCAGACUCCUACGGGAGGCAGCAGCUAAGAAUCGUCCGCAAUGGGGGAAACCCUGACGGAGCGACGCCGCGUGGAUGAUGAAGGCCGUAAGGUUGUAAAAUCCUUUUGUCGGUGAAGAAUAAACCAGGGAGUGGAAAGCCCUGGUGAUGACGUUAGCCGGCGAAUAAGCCCCGGCUAAUUACGUGCCAGCAGCCGCGGUAAUACGUAUGGGGCAAGCGUUGUUCGGAUUUAUUGGGCGCAAAGGGCGUGUAGGCGGCUCAUCAAGUCUGGUGUGAAAUCGCAGGGCUUAACCCUGCAUAUGCGCUGGAAACUGGUGGGCUUGAGUUCUUGAGGGGAAGCUGGAAUUCCAGGUGUAGGGGUGAAAUCUGUAGAUAUCUGGAAGAACACCGGUGGCGAAGGCGAGCUUCUAUCAGAGGACUGACGCUGAGGCGCGAAAGCGUGGGGAGCAAACAGGAUUAGAUACCCUGGUAGUCCACGCUGUAAACGAUGUGCACUAGGCGUGG
rnacentral:rRNA from 1 species